GGUGCAAUCUGCAAGUUGCUCAUGUUUGUUCAUAGACCAUAGUAUGUAAUCAGUUUUCUUAGUCUUAUGUUUAGAAUGCAUGCAUUCAUUUCAUAUAUUUGACAUGCAUUCCAUGUACUACUACUUGUAGGAUGUUGAUGUCAAGGAUGAGCAUGAUGAAGAUUUAGGCGAUAGUAACGAGGAUGGAGACUCGUGAUUAUAUAUGCAUGUUGAUCUUUUAGGUAGUAUUUUUUAGAAGUUACUUUUGUUUACCAUCGAGGAUGAGAUAUGAUGGUGUGAUUAUGCAUAUUUUUGAGCUUUAAAGCAGUAAUUUUUAGAAGUUACUUUUGUUGUAUUUGGUGAGACUUGUAAUACGUUGAUAUUUGUAAUAGUACUCAUCGAUAGAUGUCUUGUCUAUAAAUAACAAUUUAGUAAUUAUCAUUAUUGUUUUGAACAUAUUUAUUUUUAGAUUUUGAAAUUAAAUUAUGAAAAUAUUUAUAAUUUG
rnacentral:lncRNA from 1 species